rnacentral:rRNA from 1 species
ACGAAGGGGGCUAGCGUUGCUCGGAAUCACUGGGCGUAAAGCGCACGUAGGCGGAUUCUUAAGUCAGAGGUGAAAGCCUGGAGCUCAACUCCAGAACUGCCUUUGAUACUGGGAGUCUCGAGUUCGGGAGAGGUGAGUGGAACUGCGAGUGUAGAGGUGAAAUUCGUAGAUAUUCGCAAGAACACCAGUGGCGAAGGCGGCUCACUGGCCCGAUACUGACGCUGAGGUGCGAAAGCGUGGGGAGCAAACAG